CCGCNUGGUUUACCAAAAACAUCGCCUCUUGAAAAUAAAACAUAAGAGGUCCUGCCUGCCCAGUGACCACGUGUUCAACGGCCGCGGUAUUUUAACCGUGCAAAGGUAGCGCAAUCACUUGUCCCUUAAAUGGGGACCUGUAUGAAUGGCACGACGAGGGCUUAACUGUCUCCUCUCUCCAGUCAAUGAAAUUGAUCUCCCCGUGCAGAAGCGGGGAUACUAUCAUAAGACGAGAAGACCCUAUGAAGCUUUAGACGCCACGACAGAUUAUGUUAAACAACCCUUUUAAAGGAAUAAACCUAAUAACCCCUGUCCAAAUGUCUUUGGUUGGGGCGACCGCGGGGAAAUAAAUAACCCCCAUGUGGACUGGGAGAACUAACUCUCUCACAACCCAGAGCUACAGCUCUAAGUAACAAAAUUUUUGACCUAUAAGAUCCGGCAAUGCCGAUCAACGAACCGAGUUACUCUAGGGAUAACAGCGCAAUCCCCUUUUAGAGUCCCUAUCGACAAGGGGGUUUACGACCUCGAUGUUGGAUCAGGACAUCCUAAUGGUGCAGCCGCUAUUAAGGGUUCGUUUGUUCAACGAUUAAAGUCCUACGUGAUCUGAGUUCAAACCGGG
rnacentral:rRNA from 1 species